GACGAACGCUGGCGGCGUGCUUAACACAUGCAAGUCGAACGGAAAGGCCCUGCUUUUGUGGGGUGCUCGAGUGGCGAACGGGUGAGUAACACGUGAGUAACCUGCCCUUGACUUUGGGAUAACUUCAGGAAACUGGGGCUCAUAUCGGAUAGGAGCUCCUGCUGCAUGGUGGGGGUUGGAAAGUUUCGGCGGUUGGGGAUGGACUCGCGGCUUAUCAGCUUGUUGGUGGGGUAGUUGCUUACCAAGGCUUUGACGGGUAGCCGGCCUGAGAGGGUGACCGGCCACAUUGGGACUGAGAUACGGCCCAGACUCCUACGGGAGGCAGCAGUGGGGAAUAUUGCACAAUGGGCGGAAGCCUGUUGCAGCAGCGCCGCGUGCGGGAUGACGGCCUUCGGGUUGUGAACCGCUGUCGCCUGUGACGAAGCGUGAGUGACGGUAAUGGGUAAAGAAGCACCGGCUAACUACGUG
rnacentral:rRNA from 1 species